AACGAACGCUGGCGGCGUGGAUAAGACAUGCAAGUCGAACGCUAAUUUCGGGGUAGCAAUAUUCCGGAGUUGGAGUGGCGAAAGGGUGCGUAACACGUGGGUAAUUUGCCGUGAAGUUGGGGAUAACUUGCUGAAAGGCGAGCUAAUACCGAAUGUGGUCUAACAAGGCUAAAGUUGGGGACCGUAAGGCCUGACGCUUCAUGAUAAGCCCGCGGCCUAUCAGCUAGUUGGUGAGGUAAUGGCUCACCAAGGCUAAGACGGGUAGCUGGUCUGAGAGGACGACCAGCCUCACUGGAACUGAGACACGGUCCAGACACCUACGGGUGGCAGCAGUCGAGAAUUUUUCUCAAUGGGGGAAACCCUGAAGGAGCGACGCCGCGUGGGGGAUGAAUGGCUUCGGCCCGUAAACCCCUGUCAUUUGCGAACAAACCUUUCGUGUUAACAGCACGGGAGCUGAUUGUAGCAGAAGAGGAAGGGACGGCUAACUCUGUGCCAGCAGCCG
rnacentral:rRNA from 1 species